ensembl:ncRNA F11E6.19 ncRNA
AAAAAAUCACUCAAUGAUCACAAACCUUUUUCUUCAGACCUCUCAAGUCCGAAUACUAUUUUACUGGAACGAACACUGAAGAAGGCCAUCCAUCUUCUUGAGAUGAAAAUGAAAUUGAAAAAGAAGAACAAACAA